rnacentral:rRNA from 1 species
GAUUGGGGUGAAGUCGUAACAAGGUAGCCGUAUCGGAAGGUGCGGCUGGAUCACCUCCUUUCUAGGGAGA